rnacentral:sRNA from 1 species
AACGCCACCGGCUCCGCGGCGCGCAGUCUGGGCUGCAGACUCUCGGCUGCAGCGUUCGGUAGAUCUAGGAUCCGGCUUCCAACAUGUGGCAGCUCUGGGCCUCCCUCUGCUGCCUGCUGGCGUUGGCCGAUGCCCGGAGCAGGCCCUCUUUCCAUCCCCUGUCGGAUGAGCUGGUCAACUACGUCAACAAACGGAACACCACGUGGCAGGCCGGGCACAACUUCUACAACGUGGACGUGAGCUACUUGAAGAAGCUGUGUGGUACCUUCCUGGGUGGGCCCAAGCCGCCCCAGAGAGUUAUGUUUACCGAGGACCUGAAGCUGCCUGAAAGCUUCGAUGCACGGGAACAAUGGCCACAGUGUCCCACCAUCAAAGAGAUCAGAGACCAGGGCUCCUGUGGCUCCUGCUGGGCCUUCGGGGCUGUGGAGGCCAUCUCUGACCGGAUCUGUAUCCACACCAAUGCGCACGUCAGCGUGGAGGUGUCGGCGGAGGACCUGCUCACCUGCUGUGGCAGCAUGUGUGGGGACGGAGAACUGGUGGUUUUUUAAG